GAUAAAAUGGCUGAAUAAAGGUUGUAAAUUGUAAAUUUAUAUAUAGAUGAUAGAUCUUUUUAUCA
rnacentral:tRNA from 1 species